AGAUUUUUACAACUGCUGCGGUUGAUGAUAGGAAGAACAUUAUAUUGUUAGCUUUUGAGACAAACGGACUAUUAGCUCUCUAAUCUCGGUUUGGUUGAUAUUCUUAAUUUUGUUUGGUUGAUUUUUGUAGCUACUUUGGUAAAGGAGGAAGCUUGAUGAUUGAAGAAGAAGAAGUUCGAGAGUCUCGUUGUUUUUAUUUUUUGUUUUUUUCGACAUGGGCUCAUAGGCCGAUUGAGUAUAUAUGUGAAGAGAAGUUUCUGUAGUAGGAUUGUUUUGUAUCAUGAUUAUUUUUUAAAAUUACAUAUAUAUAUAUAUAUAAUUAACAUAGUUAUUUGUUUCCUAAAAAAAUAAUGA
rnacentral:lncRNA from 1 species